AGGCACCCGUAACAGAAAUACCGAACUGUGACACUUCCCAUUAUAGACCUAGCAUAGCGGCAGGGACAUUUUCACUUACCUUCCAGCCAAGAGCUACAAGACGCUUUACUACAAGCUGAUGGAAAGCUGGAAUUCCAAUCUGAUCCACAGACAAACCCCACACCUCAGGAGAAGCAUCUCAGUAUUACUUAUUAUAUC